GACGAACGCUGGCGGCGUGCUUAACACAUGCAAGUCGAACGAUGACGCCCGAGCUUGCUCGGUCUGAUUAGUGGCGAACGGGUGAGUAACACGUGAGCAACCUGCCCUUCACUCUGGGAUAACCUCGGGAAAUCGGGGCUAAUACCGGAUAUGAGCUCCUGUCGCAUGGCGGGUGUUGGAAAGUUUUUCGGUGUAGGAUGGGCUCGCGGCCUAUCAGUUUGUUGGUGAGGUAGUGGCUCACCAAGGCGAUGACGGGUAGCCGGCCUGAGAGGGCGACCGGCCACACUGGGACUGAGACACGGCCCAGACUCCUACGGGAGGCAGCAGUGGGGAAUAUUGCACAAUGGGCGAAAGCCUGAUGCAGCGACGCCGCGUGAGGGAUGACGGCCUUCGGGUUGUAAACCUCUUUCAGCAGGGAAGAAGCGAAAGUGACGGUACCUGCAGAAGAAGCGCCGGCUAACUACGUG
rnacentral:rRNA from 1 species